UCUGAGAAGGUGAGGUGCUUGUCUGAAUUGGUGUCUCAGAGCGAAGUAUUACAAAGCAACUCAAGUGAGCCUAUGUGUUUUUUUGCUGAUGCCAAUCAGGCCAUCCUCUGGAACAGGAUGAGCGUCUGAGGUGCCCCAAGCAAUGGCAGCUGCAGGGCCUGAUGUUUGAGCCCGGAGCAGAUGUUGAAGAGGAACGCAGUGACAGCAGAAUUAUUCCAGUUAGCCAAAGUGAUUUCAGCUUUUUGGUGAAGGAGAGCUUUAGUCUCGGCCAUCUGAAAGCUAAGUGGAGGGACCGGGGCUGGGGCAGGAGAAGGUCAGGGAUGGCAGGCAGGUGUUUUUGAGGUAGCAUAGGGGAGAGGGCUGUGCAGGAAGAGCCGCAUUUGGGGCAGGUAAAGGCAGAGGGGCCUGCUUCUCAGCCCAGCGCUACCCUGUGCUGGGCAGGGCAGUUCCAGCCUGUGUUUGUCACUGUGUAGUUUUUGUAGUUCGUCUGCUGUGUCUUAACAUUUCUGCGGGUCUUGAUGUUCUCGUUGCACCAAAGGCCUGGCGGACGUGCCUUGGGUGCCAUCUCUAGGGUUCGAAUGCUCAUAGUUGUCGAUGCCGUUUCAUUUGGGCAGUGCUUUCCUCACAUCGCAAUACUAAAGCGUGGAUCGGUCUUGUGUUUUGGAAGCUGGCGGUCAGCUGUCUCUUUUGCUGCGGUCUUGCAGCCUGCGUCAGCAUCUGCGUUGGUUACUCAUCUAUUUUCUUGGAUGCCUGUUCUGGGACUUGUUCCGUGUGUCUUCUGCAUCUUUUGGUCUUAAAACGGGGCUUCCUGCCUGUGGCUGUUGUCAUGUAGCUUCUGUAGUCUGUGUGCCACAUCUUAAAUUUCUGUGGGUCUCGAUGUCCUCUUUGCGCUCAGGGCCUGCCGGAUGUGCCUUGGGCCCUAUGUCUAGGGUGUCGAAUGCUUGUACACAUCAAUGCAGUGUCGAUCGGGCACUGCUCUUCUUGCGUCGCAAUCCUAAAGUGAGGAUCGGUCUCGUGUUGUGGAAGUUUGCGGUCAGAUGUCUCUUUGGCUGCAGCCUUGCAGCCUGCGUUGGCAUCCGCGAUCGCUAGUUGUCCAUUUGUUUGGAUUCCUGUUCUGGGUCUUGUUCUGUUUCUGUGCGUCCUCUGCGUUUUAUAGGUCUUAAAAUGGGGCUUCCUGCCCGUGUCUGCUGUGUGGUCGUUUCUGUAGUUUGUGUGCCAAGUCUUAAAGUUUCUGCGGGUCUUGAUGUCCUCUUGGUGCUCAAGGCCUGCUGGACGUGCCUGGGGCAGCAUGUCUAGGGUCCCGAAUGCUUGUACUCAUCUAUGCAGUAUCGAUCGGGCACCGCUUUUCUUGCGUCGCAAUCCUAAAGCGAGAAUCGGUAUUGUGUUUCAGAAGUUUGUGGUCAGAUGUCUCUUUUUGCUGUGGCCUUGCAGCCUCUGUCGGCAUCCGCGAUCGGUAGUUGUGCUUUUUCUUGGAUCCCUGUUCUGGGACUGGUUCUGUGUGUCCUCUGUGUCUUUAGGUCUUAAAACAGGGCUUCCUGCUUGUUCAUGCUCCCACUUGCAGCCACAUCUCUUAGUAUCGAGCCACGGUUGUUCACUUUUCCAGGGCUGCCGUAGAUUCUUCCUCUUAGCCCUGUAUGUCGUCUUGCCCUGUGGGCAGGUCUUGCAGCCUCGGAGGGGGAAGGCUUUGUUCUGACAAAUGAUCUGAGAAGGUGAGGUGGCUGUCUGAAUUGGUGUCUCAGAGGGAAGCGUCAUAUAGCAACCUAGCUGAGCCUUUGUCUUUUUCGCCGCUGCCAAUCGGCCGCCUCUGGAACGGGAUGAGCGUCUGAGGUGAGGCCGGACCCUAGCGAGAAGGAAUGAGAGACUGUUGAUUUUUCUUGCAAGCACAAAAGUAAUUUUGUCUCUUGGAACUGUGGGUGCCUCAGGCAGCGGCAGGGGCUGAUACUUGAGCGAGCAAGGAGCAGGUGAGCAGAACACCUUGGCACUUUCGCAGUAGGUGUAGUGGUGCAGUCCAAGAUGAUGGCCCUGAGCGGUGUGGUGCUGACAGUUGGCUCCAUUUUCCUCUUUUUUUUUUUUUUUGUAGAUGGUGAAGAGGAACGCCGUGACUGCAGGAUUGUGCCAGUUGACUGAUGCGAUACGACCUGCUUUGGCCAUGGACAGC